UUACCCCCCAGGGGAA
rnacentral:tRNA from 1 species